rnacentral:rRNA from 1 species
GAUGAACGCUGGCGGCGUGCCUAAUUCAUGCAAGUCGAGCGAACAGACGAGGAGCUUGCUCCUCUUACGUUAGCGGCGGACGGGUGAGUAACACGUGGAUAACCUACCUAUAAGACUGGGAUAACUUCGGGAAACCGGAGCUAAUACCGGAUAAUAUAUUGAACCGCAUGGUUCAAUAGUGAAAGACGGUUUUGCUGUCACUUAUAGAUGGAUCCGCGCCGCAUUAGCUAGUUGGUAAGGUAACGGCUUACCAAGGCAACGAUGCGUAGCCGACCUGAGAGGGUGAUCGGCCACACUGGAACUGAGACACGGUCCAGACUCCUACGGGAGGCAGCAGUAGGGAAUCUUCCGCAAUGGGCGAAAGCCUGACGGAGCAACGCCGCGUGAGUGAUGAAGGUCUUCGGAUCGUAAAACUCUGUUAUUAGGGAAGAACAAAUGUGUAAGUAACUAUGCACGUCUUGACGGUACCUAAUCAGAGAGCCACGGCUAACUACGUG